rnacentral:rRNA from 2 species
AGACCCGAAACCCGGUGAUCUAGCCAUGGGCAGGUUGAAGGUUGGGUAACACUAACUGGAGGACCGAACCGACUAAUGUUGAAAAAUUAGCGGAUGACCUGUGGCUGGGGGUGAAAGGCCAAUCAAACCGGGAGAUAGCUGGUUCUCCCCGAAAGCUAUUUAGGUAGCGCCUCGUGAAUUCAUCUCCGGGGGUAGAGCACUGUUUCGGCUAGGGGGCCAUCCCGGCUUACCAACCCGAUGCAAACUGCGAAUACCGGAGAAUGUUAUCACGGGAGACACACGGCGGGUGCUAACGUCCGUCGUGAAGAGGGAAACAACCCAGACCGCCAGCUAAGGUCCCAAAGUCAUGGUUAAGUGGGAAACGAUGUGGGAAGGCCCAGACAGCCAGGAUGUUGGCUUAGAAGCAGCCAUCAUUUAAAGAAAGCGUAAUAGCUCACUGGUCGAGUCGGCCUGCGCGGAAGAUGUAACGGGGCUAAACCAUGCACCGAAGCUGCGGCAGCGACACUCAGGUGUUGUUGGGUAGGGGAGCGUUCUGUAAGCCUGUGAAGGUGGCCUGUGAGGGUUGCUGGAGGUAUC